rnacentral:rRNA from 1 species
CUCCUACGGGAGGCAGCAGUGGGGAAUAUUGCGCAAUGGAGGAAACUCUGACGCAGCGACGCCGCGUGGGUGAUGAAGGCCUUCGGGUUGUAAAGCCCUGUCGGCUGGGAAAAAGAUUAUUGCACUAACACUGCAGUAGUUUGAUGGUACCAGCAAAGGAAGCACCGGCUAACCCUGUGCCAGCCGCCGCGGUAAUUC